rnacentral:rRNA from 1 species
UCUUCCCUCUUUCUUCGUGCCUAAUACAUGCAAGUCGAGCGAACAGACGAGGAGCUUGCUCCUCUGACGUUAGCGGCGGACGUGUGAGUAACACGUGGAUAACCUACAUAUAAGACUGGGAUAACUUCGGGAAACCGGAGCUAAUACAGGAUAAGAUAGUGAACCGCAUGGUUCAAUAGUGAAAGACGGUUUUGCUGUCUCGUAUAGAUGGAUCCGCGCCGCAUUAGCUAGUUGGUAAGGUAACGGCUUACCAAGGCUACGAUGCGUAGCCGACCUGAGAGAGUGAUCGGCCACACUGGAACUGAGACACGGUCCAGACUCCUACGGGAGGCAGCAGUAGGGAAUCUUCCGCAAUGGGCGAAAGCUUGACGGAGCAACGCCGCGUGAGUGAUGAAGGUCUUCGGAUCGUAAAACUCUGUUAUUAGGGAAGAACAAAUGUGUAAGUAACUAUGCACGUCUUGACGGUACCUAAUCAGAAAGCCACGGCUAACUACGUG